GUAGCUUUAUGCAAUUCUGGGAGUGAAUGUACUGGACCAGUUUGUUACAGCUCAACACAAGCCAAACAAAUUGAUGUAGCAUUAAAUGAAACAGCUAGAAUGUUUACUGGGGGCCUGAAGCCAACCAGGUACAUUAUUUAGCCAGUAGCCUCCUCUGGACCUGUGGUAUUAAGUAGUGGCUAACAAGGGAUGGAUAGAAGCAACCAUCUGUGAGAUUCACCCUCUAUUCAGCCAUCAACUCCUGCUGUCAAGACUGAAGUCAAGAAACAGCCUUCUGAGAACUUCAUCACCUUCUAACAGCCAGCCUCUGCCUGAAAGAUGGAAGAUGAGAAAGGAUCUUCUCGUCAAUUGGAUGGAGCUUUCUGAAUGUUUACCGCUGGGCUGUGAUCAUAAAGGCUGUGGAGGAGAGCAAACCUCUGUGUGUCAUGCUGGUGUCCUGUACGCCCCUCACCACGCACCACAGAAGAUCUGAGACAACCCAGGGCAAGGUCUUGUUGGCGUGGCUCAGUGCUGGCUUUGUUCCACAGUGUAUAUUUAACUUCAGAAGAAGAAAAAGUGAAAGAAUACGAGGCAGAGAGACAGAGAGACAGGCCGAGAGAAAAAUCAAUGAACAAGAAUAUUAAAAGGAGAGAAGCGGUGUCGAGCACGAAUGAAAUGUAAGUAAAAGGCAGCACCUGUGGC
rnacentral:lncRNA from 1 species